AUUGAACGCUGGCGGCAUGCCUUACACAUGCAAGUCGAACGGCAGCACGGAGCUUGCUCUGGUGGCGAGUGGCGAACGGGUGAGUAAUAUAUCGGAACGUACCCAAGAGUGGGGGAUAGCGUAGCGAAAGUUACGCUAAUACCGCAUACGAUCUAAGGAUGAAAGUGGGGGCUCGCAAGACCUCAUGCUCCUGGAGCGGCCGAUAUCUGAUUAGCUAGUUGGUGAGGUAAAGGCUCACCAAGGCAUCGAUCAGUAGCUGGUCUGAGAGGACGACCAGCCACACUGGAACUGAGACACGGUCCAGACUCCUACGGGAGGCAGCAGUGGGGAAUUUUGGACAAUGGGGGCAACCCUGAUCCAGCAAUGCCGCGUGAGCGAAGAAGGCCUUCGGGUUGUAAAGCUCUUUUGUCAGGGAAGAAACGGUGAAGGCUAAUAUCCUUUGCUAAUGACGGUACCUGAAGAAUAAGCACCGGCUAACUACGUGCCAGCCGCCGCGGUAAGAC
rnacentral:rRNA from 1 species